UCAAGCUACUAAGAGCGCAUGGUGAAUGCCUUGGCAGUUGGAGGCUACGAAGGGCGCAGUCAGCUGCGAUAAGCGCCGGAGAGCUGCAAACAAGCUUUGAUCCGGCGGUACCCGAAUGGGAGAACCCGUACGGAGUCAUGUCCGUACAUCGCCGCGUGAAUUCAUAGCGCGGCGAAGCCAACCCGGAGAAGUGAAACAUCUCAGUAACCGGAGGAAAAGAAAGAACCUCGAUUCCCCAAGUAGUGGCGAGCGAACGGGGAACAGCCUAAACCGAUUCCAGUGUCAAGCCGGCAGGCGUUGCUGGAGCGGUGUCGUGGGAGCGACCUGACCUACUGCCGUGAGGUCAAGGAGUUACAAAGGUUGCCUUUUAGUCGAAGACCCCUGGAAAGGGACACCAAAGACGGUGAUAGUCCGGUAGGCAACAAUCGGCAACCCUCCUGGUCGUUUCCCAAGUACCACGGAGCACGAGAAACCUCGUGGGAAUCCCGGACGACCACGUCCUAAGGCUAAAUACUACCAACUGACCGAUAGUGCACUAGUACCGUGAGGGAAAGGUGAAAAGAACCCCUGGCGGGGAGUGAAAUAGAACCUGAAACCAUGUGCUUACAAUCAGCGGGAGCUAGCCGAACCCUUUCCGCAAGGUUCGGGUCGGCUGUGACCGCGUGCCUUUUGCAUAAUGAUCCGGCGAGUGUGCGUAUGCAGCAAGGCUAAGGUUCACAUGAACUGUAACCGUAGCGAAAGCGAGUCCUAAUUGGGCGUCAGUUGCAUGCGCCCGGCCCGAAACCCGGUGAUCUACCCAUGGCCAGGUUGAACUCUCGGUAACACGAGAGGGAGGACCGAACCGGUGAUCCUUGCAAUAAUCUCGGAUGAGCUGUGGGUUGGAGUGAAAGGCUAAUCAAACCGGGUGAUAGCUGGUUCUCUCCGAAAUGCCUUUAGGGGCAGUCUGUCGCGUUCAGUUGCGGAGGUAGAGCACUGGAUGGGCGCUCUCUCACAAUGUGAGAGAAAACCCGACCAAACUCCGAAUACCGCAACUCCAGAGCGGCGGAAAGAGGCUAUGAGCUCUAAGGUCCAUGGCCGAGAGGGGAAUAACCCAGACCGCCGGCUAAGGCCCCGAAGUGUAUGCUAAGUCGAAAAAGAGGUGAGGCUACUCAGACAGCUGGGAUGUUGGCUUAGAAGCAGCAAUCAUUUAAAGAGUGCGUAACAGCUCACCAGUCGAGUGGUCUUGCGCUGAAAAUUUAUCGGGGGUCAAGCAUACCGCCGAAGCCGCGGACUCGUAGCAAUACGAGUGGUAGGAGAGCGUUCUGUUGUAGGUCGAAGGUGCACGGCGACGUGUGCUCGACGAAGCAGAAGUGAGCAUGCCGGAACGAGUAGCGUAAAAUCAGGUGAAAAACCUGGUCACCGAAAGCCCAAGGUUUUCUGGGGAAGGUUAAUCCGCCCAGAGUUAGUCGGUACCUAAGCCGAGGCUGAAAAGCGUAGGUGAUGGACAUCCGGUCAACAUUCCGGAACCACCUUGGCGCCGUUAUGAGCUAAGGGGUGACGCAGAAGGUAAAGCCCGGCCCCGUGUUGGAUCGGGGUCUAAGCCAUGGCGAUGGGGCGUUGGCAAAUCCGCGCCCGUAAGUCGCUGUGGCGAAUGGGACGCUCCCGCAAGGGAGCGGAACCGGGUCAAACCGACUGCCGAGAAAACCCUCUAUGCCAGGCGUCCGGGUGACCGUACCGUAAACCGACACUGGUGGGUGAGGAGAAUAUCCAUAGGUGCUCGGGUGACCUCUUGUUAAGGAACUCGGCAAUCUAGCCCCGUAACUUCGGAAUAAGGGGUGCCGGCGCAAGCCGGCCGCAGUGAAGUGGCACUACCGACUGUUUAACAAAAACACAGGUCUCUGCUAAGCCGUGAAGGCGAUGUAUAGGGACUGACACCUGCCCGGUGCCGGAAGGUUAAGGAAGGGGGUCAGCUUCCGCAAGGAGGCGAAGCUCUCGACCGAAGCCCCGGUAAACGGCGGCCGUAACUCUAACGGUCCUAAGGUAGCGAAAUUCCUUGUCGGGUAAGUUCCGACCUGCACGAAUGGUGUAACGAU
rnacentral:rRNA from 1 species